GUUCGCGGCCUCUAGUUAACCAGUUGUCCGGCAGGGCAUAGCUGGGCAGCCACGCCGUCGUGGGUAAGAGCUGAAAGCAUCUAAGCUCGAAACCACCUCGAAAAAGAGGCACCUUACAACACUCGUAAAUGACGAGUUUGAUAGGACCGGGAUGUACGUACCAAGGUUCGCCGAGGUACUCAGUCCGCGGUCACUAACGUUGUUACGGCCGCAUAA
rnacentral:rRNA from 1 species